AGUUGCAUUACAGGGCAAUUAUCUCCAUUGGCAGGCAGCCACUUAGACAUGCAUGCCAUUGAUUUCCUAGUGUGCCUUCUGCCAAAGGAGAUUUGCCCAGCAAUUUUUCU
rnacentral:pre_miRNA from 1 species